UAAAAUACUAUAAUAAAAUAAUAAAACAAAGAACAGUGUAUGUAAAAUAGUGUGUACAUGAGGUGAACAGUUAGUUUGUUAGUUUUGCUGCAAGCUGGCCUCUGCUAUAACCAGGUCCACAGGUGACAUCUUCAUAGCGUGGCCUCUUGAUGAACGAGCGCCACGUAUGCAUUGAAUGGCGGACCUGAGCAGGCUGAAAGAGAGGGAGCAUCUCAGCCAGUGCAGGGUGGUGCUGUAGGGUUGGUCCCAUUUCUCUGCUAGCAGGGAGGCCAGUCGUUUGUAGAAGUUUGUAGCUUGUUUUGAAAGGCCGCCAGUCGCAGACAUCACAAUGGGGACGAAAGUAGUAUGCUCCACUUCUCUCACCCUUUGUCCGUAUGCACGGAUCUUUUCCCUCUCGUGCUUCCUGAAGCAUUGGUCUAGGGUUGUGUUGCGAUUUGAGGGAGCAAAAGGGUUGAAGACUCUGACGUCCAUCAGGGUUCUCUCGCGUCUGCCUCCCCAGAGACCACUGGCAGCAACAUCAAGCCUAGCACCUAUGGUGGUAUUUGCGCUUCUCCCGGACAUGGUCUCUGUGGUGAUCUCCUGAAGCUCUGGUUCAAUUUGCACAUCAUUGCAUACUUCAGUUAAGAGUCUCGCUGUUAAAUCUCUUAUUUCAUUGUGACGCAGGGAAGGAAACCCACCGCGUGGGCAAGAAAGUAUAUGAUCCACAACAAACGCAGCGCUACACUUCGACUUUAACGUAAUUUUUCUUGCUCUAUUCCAAGGGACACUGCAAGCCGUAAUUAUUUUUUUGUGUCCCGGUAAUUCGGGUGAAUACGGUACACAAAUUUGAGUGCUAUAUUAUUGUGUAGCUCAUCAGCAUAAUUAUUCUUCUGCAGGUAGGCCUUCCUAACCACCCUCCAAGUGAGCUAAAGCUUCUGAAUCUUAAUACUGGUCCCUGUCAGGGCACACAUUUGAGGUAGGCCACCCUCCAAGUGAGCUAGCUGUCUGAAUCUUAAUACUGGUCCCUGUCAGGGUACAACUUUGAGGUAGGCCAUCCUAACCACCCUCCAAGUGAGCUAGCUGUCUGAAUCUUAACACUGGUUCGAAAUAGCUAUGAAGUACAAGUUCAAAGGACUGUAGUAAAGACUCAUAAUUAACUGGAUACAUGCACGCAAGUUUUGCAAACACUUCUGUUUCAUUUUCAUGCUAUAGACUCGUUAUUGUUUUGUUAUUGUUUAUUGUUUAUGAGAUUGAAAUGGCGUUAA